CCCUGCAAAUGGCGGUAAUGAUGGUGCUUCCAUAAUACGGUGUGUUACCAUAUGGCAAAGCAGAAGCAAGUUGGAGCCUGGAAGAAAUGACCCAUGUGGUGCCUUAGGCCAGGGCAAUGCUUAAUAAAUGAUUGCCACUAUCGUCAUCGUCGUCAUCAUCAUCAUAAUGUCAUAGAACCAGGGUUCUAGAAGGCUCUGUGGCAGGGAGUGGGAGGGUGAUUAACAGGGGAAGAAUUAGGAAAGAGGACACGCAAGACCACAGUAAGAGAUGGAAAUAAGAGAAUAUUCCUGAUUUCCAUUGGAUGACUUUGACUGGUAUGAUUUCAUUGUCUGAAAGUGUAAACCAGGGUUCAGCAUGGCCAGAAACCAUUCCAAGCCUCAUGAAGUGGGCAAGUCAGGUUUGGUCAUUUUUGGAUCCAGUCCGAGGAGUUCCUCAUGGUUCCCAUGACUUUCAUAAUAUCCACGUGUACCGGCCAGGUAAUGUCAUUGCAUGUACACAGUUUAAGACAGAGCAUCUGGUGAUUCUCGGACCUUCAAGCAAGUGUCACAUCUCAGGUGAACCUUGGCAGUUUAUAGGUGAACAAAGUAAUCAAAGCAAAAAUGUCAAAUAAUAAUAAUAAUAAUGAUAUCAGAAGAAUGUCCAAUGCCAUGGUUGGAUUCCCAGAAGGCAGCAUCUGCUCAUGCCAUCAACAACAUGGUGCCAUUUCAGUCAUCCUCUUUUUGUCCCAAAGACAGAAAACAAAUAGAAAAAAGAAAAAGAAAAAGACACCACGAACUGUCUAUCCUCCUGGUAAUACAAAUACACCUGUAAAUAAACAUGUCAAUGUCUACACACAACGCACAUUUAUGCAGAAUCCAUCCUCUCGGUGCUUCCGUAGUUAUCAAGUAAAAGUC
rnacentral:lncRNA from 1 species